UACGUAGGGGCGCAAGCGUUGUCCGGAAUUAUUGGGCGUAAAGAGUUCGUAGGCGGUUUGUCGCGUCGUUUCGUUGAAAACUGGGGCUUAACUCCAAGUCGUUGCGGGCGAUUACGGGGCAGACUUGAGUACUACAGGGGGAGACUGGAAUUCCUGGUGUAGCGGUGAAAUGCGCAGAUAUCAGGAGGAACACCGGUGGCGAAGGCGGGGUCUCUGGGUAGUGAACUGACGCUGAGGAACGAAAGCGUGGGUAGCGAACAGG
rnacentral:rRNA from 1 species